GAUAUCUGUAGCUCAGUUGGUAGAGCAUGAGACUGGGUAAUCUCAGGGUUGUGGAUUUGAACUCCACAUUGGAAUUG